UUCACCAUCUUGCAGAUGUCACAAGGGGGGAUAAUGUAAUUUUGAAAUCUAAAAUUGUUAUAAAAGACAACCUGUAAGAUGAUCUAAGUUUGUAAAACCAAUUAAAGCAAAACUAAACAAUAUAUUGUUUUAUUUUUGUUUUUAGUUUUCAUAAAAAUGGAGUCCCACUAUGUUGCUCAGGAUAAUCUUGAACUCCUGUGCUCAAGACAGCCUCCUGCCUCAGCCUCCUGAAGGACUGGGAUUACAGGUCUCCUUUCCUGAAACAAAACAGCAUUGAAAUUAGGCCAAUUAACAACUGUGCAAGACCAAGUAUUCAAGUAAAAGGAAGAGUCUCACAUCUUUCACUUUAAAUCAAAAGCUCAAGUUGAACUUUUUAAAAUGAUUCAGCUUAGUAAAGAAGGCAUGUUGAAAAACAAAACAGAUCAAGGCUUGGCCUCUUGCAUCAAAUACUUAGUCAAGUUGUGAAUUGAAUGAAAAGGAAAAGUUCUUGAAAGAAAUCAAAGUUCUACUCCAGAACUUUUUGUGUGAACACACAAAUGAUAAGAAAAU
rnacentral:lncRNA from 13 species